rnacentral:rRNA from 1 species
CAGUCGAACGAUGAAGCCCUUCGGGGUGGAUUAGUGGCGAACGGGUGAGUAACACGUGGGCAAUCUGCCCUUCACUCUGGGACAAGCCCUGGAAACGGGGUCUAAUACCGGAUAACACUCUGUCCCGCAUGGGACGGGGUUGAAAGCUCCGGCGGUGAAGGAUGAGCCCGCGGCCUAUCAGCUUGUUGGUGGGGUAAUGGCCUACCAAGGCGACGACGGGUAGCCGGCCUGAGAGGGCGACCGGCCACACUGGGACUGAGACACGGCCCAGACUCCUACGGGAGGCAGCAGUGGGGAAUAUUGCACAAUGGGCGAAAGCCUGAUGCAGCGACGCCGCGUGAGGGAUGACGGCCUUCGGGUUGUAAACCUCUUUCAGCAGGGAAGAAGCGAAAGUGACGGUACCUGCAGAAGAAGCGCCGGCUAACUACGUGCCAGCAGCCGCGGUAAUACGUAGGGCGCAAGCGUUGUCCGGAAUUAUUGGGCGUAAAGAGCUCGUAGGCGGCUUGUCACGUCGGAUGUGAAAGCCCGGGGCUUAACCCCGGGUCUGCAUUCGAUACGGGCUAGCUAGAGUGUGGUAGGGGAGAUCGGAAUUCCUGGUGUAGCGGUGAAAUGCGCAGAUAUCAGGAGGAACACCGGUGGCGAAGGCGGAUCUCUGGGCCAUUACUGACGCUGAGGAGCGAAAGCGUGGGGAGCGAACAGGAUUAGAUACCCUGGUAGUCCACGCCGU